rnacentral:rRNA from 1 species
UACGAAGGGUGCAAGCGUUACUCGGAAUUACUGGGCGUAAAGCGUGCGUAGGCGGUCUGUUAAGUCCGUUGUGAAAGCCCUGGGCUCAACCUGGGAAUUGCAGUGGAUACUGGCGGGCUAGAGUGCGGUAGAGGAUGGUGGAAUUCCCGGUGUAGCGGUGAAAUGCGUAGAUAUCCGGAGGAACACCGGUGGCGAAGGCGGCUUCCUGGACUGACACUGACGCUGAGGCGCGAAAGCUAGGGGAGCAAACGGG